AAACUUUCAACAACGGAUCUCUUGGUUCUGGCAUCGAUGAAGAACGCAGCGAAAUGCGAUAAGUAAUGUGAAUUGCAGAUUUCAGUGAAUCAUCGAAUCUUUGAACGCACAUUGCGCCUAUUAGUAUUCUAGUAGGCAUGCCUGUUCGAGCGUCAUUU
rnacentral:rRNA from 1 species